AUUGAACGCUGGCGGCAUGCUUUACACAUGCAAGUCGAACGGUAACAGGCCGCAAGGUGCUGACGAGUGGCGAACGGGUGAGUAAUGCAUCGGAACGUGCCCAGUCGUGGGGGAUAACGCAGCGAAAGCUGUGCUAAUACCGCAUACGAUCUGUGGAUGAAAGCGGGGGACCGAAAGGCCUCGCGCGAUUGGAGCGGCCGAUGUCAGAUUGGGUAGUUGGAGGGGUAAAGGCUCACCAAGCCAACGAUCUGUAGCUGGUCUGAGAGGACGACCAGCCACACUGGGACUGAGACACGGCCCAGACUCCUACGGGAGGCAGCAGUGGGGAAUUUUGGACAAUGGGCGCAAGCCUGAUCCAGCAAUGCCGCGUGCAGGAAGAAGGCCUUCGGGUUGUAAACUGCUUUUGUACGGAGCGAAAAGGCUCUCUCUAAUACAGGGGGCUCAUGACGGUACCGUAAGAAUAAGCACCGGCUAACUACGUGCCAGCCGCCGCAGUAACAC
rnacentral:rRNA from 1 species